ensembl:snoRNA SNORD96 Small nucleolar RNA SNORD96 family
GAUCCUGGUGAUGACAGACGACAUAGUCAUCCAAUCCCCACAAGGGAAUGAGGACAUGUCCUGCAAUUCUGAGUGGAUU